rnacentral:rRNA from 1 species
AUUGAACGCUGGCGGCAUGCCUUACGCAUGAAAGUCGAACGGUAACAAGUCUGCGUAUGAUGACGAGUGGCGAACGGGUGAGUAAUACAUCGGAACGUGCCCGAUCGUUGGGGACGACGAAGCGAAAGCUUUGCUAAUAUCGCAUACCAUCUACGGAUGACAGCAUGGGACCGCAAGCCCUCGGGCGAACGCUGCGGCCGAUGUCCGAUUAGGUAGUUGGUGGUUUAAACGCUUACCAAGCCGACCAUCUUUAGCUGUACUGAGAGGACGACACGGCACACCGUAACUGAGACACGGCCCUGACUCCUACGGGAGGAAGCGUUGGGGAAUUGUGGGCAAUGGGCGAAAGUCUGAUCCACCCAUGCCGCGUGCAGGAUGAAGGCCUUCGGGUUCUAAACUGCUUUUGUGCGGAAUGAAAAGACUCUGGUUAAUGCCUGCGUUCCAUGACGGUACCGUAAGAAUAAGCACCGGCUAACUCCGUG